AUUGAACGCUGACGGCAGGCCUAACACAUGCAAGUCGAACGGUAGCACAGAGAGCUUGCUCUCGGGUGACGAGUGGCGGACGGGUGAGUAAUGUCUGGGAAACUGCCCGAUGGAGGGGGAUAACUACUGGAAACGGUAGCUAAUACCGCAUAACGUCUUCGGACCAAAGUGGGGGACCUUCGGGCCUCACACCAUCGGAUGUGCCCAGAUGGGAUUAGCUAGUAGGUGGGGUAAUGGCUCACCUAGGCGACGAUCCCUAGCUGGUCUGAGAGGAUGACCAGCCACACUGGAACUGAGACACGGUCCAGACUCCUACGGGAGGCAGCAGUGGGGAAUAUUGCACAAUGGGCGCAAGCCUGAUGCAGCCAUGCCGCGUGUAUGAAGAAGGCCUUCGGGUUGUAAAGUACUUUCAGCGGGGAGGAAGGCGGUGAAGUUAAUAGCUUCAUCGAUUGACGUUACCCGCAGAAGGAGCACCGGCUAACUCCGUGCCAGCCGCCGCAGUAA
rnacentral:rRNA from 1 species